rnacentral:lncRNA from 1 species
GCUGAAGCUGAGUGAGCGGCCAUCGCAUCCCCUCAGCCACUCCAGGAUGGGCAGCAGCAGUGGACUGAGCUUCCCAGGAGAGGCUCCUGGCCCGGAACCUGCGGGGUUGUGGCCGUACACUUCGCCAGCUUCCAGCGCAUGAAGUGGCCCAAAGCAGGCGGCAGACUUGGUGUCCCCCGCAAAAGUGACAACUUCAUCUAGAGGCUGUUGCACAGAAACUCUCCAACCAGGAGGAAGAGACCAGCAGCUGCCCUCUCGGUUCCCAGAACGUGCAUUAGAAAUUUCCAGUCCUAAGGGGGCUGCAGCGUUACCCAUCUUCCAACUGAUGACCAAAAAGUGGGCUUGAGAAAACAUUUUACCGUUUAAGAAACUGAACAGGAGGGGGUGCCUUCGUUUUGGAUGCUAUUUUUGAGAAGCUGGUCAAAGAAGGGGAAAAUAGAACUGAUUAGGAAACAAAAUGAAUAAAUUGCCGUGGCAGUCCUUGGAUGAUUUUAACUCGUCAGAUGCCAAUGCCCGAGGUCUUUUAUUGUGCCAAGGCUGCUUUUGCAGUAUUUCAAUGCUCACGGAUCCUGUGAAUCACUUCUUCCUACACUGAUUCAUCCUUCUGAUCGUCUCUUCAUUUAUUCAUUUCUUAGGGGCCCUUCCCCCUGGAGACAGAGGCCUAGUUGCUUUUAAAAAUAUCCCCCUCACUACCACCAAAAAUAGAAAGUCUGGGGAGUGCUGUUGUGACUAAGCGGUCCCACCUUGUCCCUGCAGCAUCUCAAGUCGCUGCUGUGUGGCAGGUUUGAUCUCUGCACCUGGGAACUUCUACAAGACAAGGACAUGGUCAGGAUAUACACACACAGAUUAUCGAUACCUAUUUUGUUUCAGAUGAUAUGAUGGUGUCUGAAGAUACAGACUCUUGCCUUUCCAGAGGCCAUAGGCAGUAACUUUUGACCUUUUAAUGUCCCAUCCCUAUAAUUUUUAACAAAUUGAGCAUCUACCCAUAUAAUAUUAUUUAUAUAUGUACAUAUAUUCUUUUAUAAUUAAUAUAUGAAAUGUUAGUUCAUUUUAUUUUUUGGAUGAAUGCAUAAAUGGAGGUUAAGGUAUUUUUUUCAUUCACUCCAGUGGACCAUCUCAAACACUUCCUGGACUGCUUCCUCAGUCUGCAACCCCCGCUACUGGUAUGCGCCUGACUCUCUCGCUUCUUUCUUCAGAUCUCUGUCAAAUGCCAGGUUUUCAGAGAGGCCUUCCCUGGCCACUCCCUUUAAAAUACUGUCCUCAGCCAUACAAUGAGACACCAACAUCAAAUGCUUUCACUGACAUGUGGAAUCUGAAAAAAGGACAGACGGAACUUCUUUGCAGAACAGAUGCUGACUCACGGAUAUCGGAAAACUUACGGUCUCCGGAGGAGACAAUUUGGGGGGUGGGGGAUGUGUUUGGGUUGUGGGAUGGAAAUCCUAUGAAAUCAGAUUGUUGUGAUCAUUAUACAACUACAGAUGUGAUAAAUUCAU